rnacentral:pre_miRNA from 1 species
AGAUACCCUUCUGGGGCAAGACUUGCUUCAGUGGGGCUUUGUUGCUCACUGAGUCUCCCCCCUGAGUGUGUCCCU